rnacentral:tRNA from 1 species
CCUGGUGGCUCAGAGGGUAAAGCGUCUGCCUGCAAUGCAGGAAACCCAGGUUCGAUUCCUGGGUCAGGA